AAAAUGCGAAAAGUAUUGUGACAUGCAAUCUUCGUGAAUCAUCCAAUUUUUGAACGCACCUUGCACUGACCGGCCUGUGUCUGUCAGUAUACUUGUUUGAGCAUCGACCCCCGUCUGUCAGCCUCUCUCCGUAGGAGAGAUGAGCAGGACAGGAGAUGGAUGUUUGCCGCCUCGCAAGAGGAGGGAGCCGUCUGAAAAGCAGCGCGCACAAGCGCCCGUCCACAUGGGAUAAAAAAUGUCGUGUGGGAGGGAGGCGAGUGCGGGUGGGAGAGAGUCUGGCGAGCCCCAGGGCUCGAUACGACCCUUACCCCAAUCAUAUGUACACGAUCUCAAAUCAAGUAGGAAUACCCGCUGAACUUAA
rnacentral:misc_RNA from 1 species